CAGUUGAAAAACCGGACCAAGCCUCACCUGCGCGGAAGACUUCUUGUCUUUUCCGAUUCUGAAUUAUCCACCGGAAUAAAGAGAAGAGAGAGUUUCAGGCCAUUGCUCCUCUGCCACCAACCCUAAAUCCAACCACUAUUCCCAAGGACAGAGGAAGAGAGACUAAAGAAACAAACAGACCAUGUUUCUGAGGUGUUUUUUUUUACCAUGGGUUGGUGGGAGUCCUAAGCUUGAGGAGAAAGGAAGUUCUGAAAAGCAGAAUGCUACAAAGAUCUCUAAUAACAGGUCUAGCUGAAGUACAGUUCAUCAUGGCCUUGGCACAGUAAUGGAAGGUGGACAGUUAUUUGAAUACUCAAGGAUCAGAACAUCGUAGCUGAUGGUGACAUUAAUGGAGGUAAAGUAACUUGGAUAAUAAGACCUAACAUAACCAAAGUACUCCAUAGUAGCUGCAUAUUUUUAAUUGAGCUGCAUUAUGAUAUUAUGUUGUGUAGAUUUGGAUUCUUCUUGUGCUAGCAACAAAUAAUUUGCUUUUACUACUUUAUAUCUGCUCACAUAUGUUAUGCAGUAACUUUACGGUAUAAUAACUUUUCUUGAACCUUGAUUGUUUAUCAAAUCAAAAACCAAGUAUUUAUUAAUGCAAUUAGCAGUAUGACAGCAGAAGCAUUUACUUUAGUAUUUCUAUCCAGAUAGAGUAGUCAUGCAGGAACACUUUAAAACACACAUCCAAGUUAAUUUACUCAUUUAAAACUAUCAUAGAUAGUAUUUUGUAUAUUAAUUUGACAACAUCUUCAUCAAGCAACUGUACCCAAGAUAUAAAGACAAUAAUCUUACACAAACCCCCUUCAGUGGAUGACAUAAGACCUUACGCUGAAAAGCCAGCUGACUUGGUUUGGUGCUGUAUAGUUAUAAAUAACUGCUGCAACAUGAAAUUAUAUGUCUUUGGGAGGGAGGGGGUGCGAGAUGCAUGAUAUGCGUACUCAAGUCUAUUAGUUGGUCUUAUGACAUAAUUCUGCUGCCUGCUUCCUAAAAACUUCAUAAACCAAUCAUCUUUCCUUUGUGACAUUUCCAACAAGUCCUAUAAGAAAGCCACAACCAUAGCCAAUACACACAAUUCUCUAACCAAUCUCAAAGAAAGACUUUCUGCCUUGCUCUUUUUUGGGUGUCGAAUGUGGAGAUAGAAAGGCAGCCUGGAGUGUCCACAUUUGAUUGGCAGUGACAUGCCACAGAAACUUAGAUUUAUCUUGAAUUAAGUGUAUGAAAAACAUGCCGAACUGAGUUCCAUAUGGUAUUGGCACAAUGAGAUUGUCAUUUGAGCCGCUGAAGGAUCCGAGGAAUGUGAGUAUUGCUAGUUGUGGGGGAUCUCAAUUGACAACUUGUUCUGAGAAAGGUCCUUUUGAAAGGAUGAUGAUGCAACGAGUGAGACUUUAUUGGACAGGUUGAGCAAAGGAAGUCCCUUUCAGUGUCUGAGGGACUCUGGAACUUUCCCUUCCAACCUGUUUCUUGGAAGAUCCAUGACCGUGAAGAAAUCUUGAACAUUAUAUUACACCAUUUCUGUGCCUUUAUUGGUUAUGUUCAUUGCAAAAUAGGGCAUUGACUACUACCCAUCUCUCACAGAGAAGUAUUGCAACUUCUUUGUGACAUCAUCAAUAAUUGUCAUGACAUUUUACUGUUGGAAUAUGCCGUAGACAAAUAUCUGAGAAACGAUUGUGAGAGGGGAUCAAUCAUGAACAAGUUUGGGAUUGUACUAUUUAUGCUGCUUGGAGUCCUUAGUACGAGUGUGGUAAAUGAUUAAGGUGCAAAACAAGAACCUUCAACAGGGAAACUACUCCCAUCCACGAAGGUCAAGUUUCAAUAAUUUGAUACUUACCAAUAUGGAUGAGCUCCCACAUUGUAUUGCUAAUGAAUGAUCCUGGUAGUUGACCUUGAAGUUGGUUGGACUUAGAUAGAUCAUCCUUAAGAUGUCUCAGUUUGUGCAGGUUAGAGUAAUAGUGCUGUUGAAAUCAUUUCCUUUUAGUCUUAGGACCUGUAGGAAACUGCUCAAUUUUCAGAACACAGUGGUAGCAUGCUACUAAGAUAUUUGGAGGAAGCAUCAAGGAUAUCGAGUAAACUGAGUUUGCAAAUGUGAAGCAGUUUCCUCAACUAGCAUGCAUUGUGGAACUUGGCACACCUGAUGGAUGGUGGUGCUAUGGGGAUAGGUCCUUGAAGCAGGAUGUCAUCAAGCGCUAAAACUUCUAUGUUUUAGAAAAUUAUUAUUUCAAGAAAAAAAUCUCGCAAAGAGUCUGUAGAGUUUUUGUGUGCUUGCAAAGCCAUUUGGGUACGAGACCUUAAAUAUGGUCUUCCUGCAGCUCUAGGCAACUCAAAUUAUGUUGGUUCCUCUGGAAUUUGUGGAAUUUUUUUUUUUUUAUUAUUUGCACCAAGCUAAUCCUAGAGCUUGAAACUGUAUGAGGUAAUAUAUCUGAACCUGAUUCAGUAAGCAUUGACAAGCUGUCUAUUCCCACCUUCCCAGUACGGUUGUUGGGAGUCAGGGUCAUACUAGCAAGAUUCUUAAGUUGGGAGAAUGAGGUUGGAAGUUGGCCAUCCAAUGAGUAGUAUCCAAGCUCGAGCAUUAUUUUGUAGGUGAGAUUACCAAGUGAAUGCUGGAUAAGCCUAAAAAGAGUUGUUCUGGAGGUCCAGUUUAAUGAGAGUAAAAUUACCAAGUGAAGGAGGAAAGGUACCUAAGAAGUGACAGUGUGAUAUAAUGAUUUCAGUCAAGUAACCAAUUUUUCAAAUUGAAAUUGUUAGAGCUCACCAGAGAAAUCUGUGAUACCUUCAGAGCACUGUUCAAAUAAAAUUCAGGCAAGCAGCUGGUGAUAUGCUUGUUGGGCUGCAACAUAAGAUACUGCAGGUUAGAUAGGUCACAAAUUUGGCUUGGGAAUUUGCUGUACAAUCUGCAAAGUUGUAGAAGAAAGAGGAUUAAGGAAAGAUAAAAUUGGCCUAGAUAGGAAAAAACUAAUUCUAUUAGAUUCGGGUAUCGACGAUAGUCAAAUGUAGCCAGUCAUAGAGCUGUCUGAGAACCAUAUUUUGGAUUAAGAAGCGUGUGGUUUGUUGAAAUCUUUUUUAGAAAGAGGGAGAAAAAGUCUCUGUACUGCACCAAACUACAAAAGACAUGGCUAAAGUAAAAACAACUCAUCAAACGUCGUCGUUGCAUUGUCAGCAUCAUCAAAAAUAAAAAAAUAAUUUUGUAACUGCGAUCUGAUAUAAACAGUAGGAAUUAUGCCAGUUUAGGAGAGAAAAAAUAUGGAAAUCCGCUUCCCCAAUCCAUCUAGUAUUACUUCUUCAAACCUACCCCCAAACACUUGUGUGUUCUCCGAUUUGCUCCGAGAGACAUCUGGCAGUCAAUCAAAUUUCAGAUCUAGAGUAAAGGAAGGUGAAGGUACCCAAUUUGGCUCACAAAUUCUCCAACUAGCUUAGUAGAAUGAUAAGAUCGACUUCUCCUUGAUAUAUGAGUGUGGAAAUUGAAAUCAAGUUCAUUUACAAUAGUGAAAGGACAAGAAUUUCAUUAGCACAAGCAUAAGAUAAUGGCAACUGUAGGUUGUGAAGGUGAAGGAAUAUGUAUCGACAACAAGAAUAUGAUAGAUAGAUUUAGUAAUCUUCCAGAAGGUGUUUCUGAUCACAUUCUCUCCUUUCUUACUAUGCUUCACCUUGCUCGAGUGGGUUGUGUAUCCAAAAGAUGCAAAGAAUCAUACAUAUCAACUCCUUCACUGAAUUUCAAAUUUUAAAACCAGGAUCAUCCACAUGUAAUAAGCGGCUAUGGCUGUUAAAUUCUUUGGAUAGGUUCUUUGUUCACCGUGGGGAUAAUAAGAUACAAUACUUUGGUGUUAGUUGGCGAAGUCACUCUGUAGAUGAAAGUCAAGAGUUACCAUGCUUCUGUGAUGAUGAGAAUUUUCGAAUGAUACUCACAUGGAUCCAAAAUGCAGCAAGGUGUAAUGUUGAAAAACUUGUUAUUGAGAUCAGUUCUCCGCCAGAAUAUGUGACAACGAUGUCUAUGACGUACAUAUUUCUUUGUGCAUCUUUGAGGUCUUUAGUGCUGAAAAUGUUUUGUACAAUUCAUGAAGCACCAUCCUUUGCUGUUUCUUCUAAUCUCAAAUACUUGAUGUUAAAAAAUGUUGGUAUUAAUGAUGAGGGGUUUUUCAAAUGGAUAUCACGUUGCUGCAGAUUCAUUGAGGAAUUAGUUCUCGAAGAAGUUUGUGGGAUAAACACUAUCACCAUUGAGAGCUCAACCUUGAAAAGAUUUGGUUUUUAUUUUCCAGUUCAUAUCUGCCGUCUUAUCAUGUCAUGUGAGACACUUGAAGUCAUAUUCAUUGACUGGAGAUUUGAUGAACAUAGUAACAUAUUGUUAAAUACUUUUGCUCCCAAUCUUAGAAAGUUGAUGUGGUACGGGAAUGUGAUGAAUCAGCGAAACCUGAGAAAAUUAGAAUGUAUAGAACAAGUUACACUUGAUCUGGAGCCUGAAGUAGACUAAAAAAAUGUAUACGGUCUUCUUUGCAAUUUAUGCUGGGUUCGAGCUCUUAUUAUAGAUGUACUCACCAUUCAGGUAAAGAGAUCUAUAACUCUAAUGCUGAUGUAUUAUUUAUGUUUUGGGAUAUUUGCCUAUUUCAACUGUUCGUUCCUUCUGCUAUGGCGAUUAUAGAAUAGUUUAAAUUGUUUUGGUUUCUGUGUCCUGGUCAAUUCCGAAUUGGUCCAUAUGCUACCAGUUUAGGUUCUUUGGUCAAUUUGUUAUCAAGUGUUUACAAUGGUGGUCACUGGUGCCAAAAUUUGGUCAAAUUGAUGUUGAAAACUGUAAAUUGGCUGUGGGGGUAAGGGAGGAAAAGACAAAGAACCUGUGUUUACGUGGUUCUUGUGCGAUUUGAAUGGAAAGUUGAUGGUUUUUGCCACCAGUGACCAAGGUUGAAACCGAAAAAGAGUGACCAAUAAUCCUCUGGUACCAAUUGACAUUCUGCCAAAACAGAGGGUCCAAAAAUUGUUUUUAACCAAUAAGGCAGUUAGCCAGUUUUGUUCUUUGAAUUCAGUGUCUUUUUGUUUUUCCUCUCUUUCCAACUUGAGUGAUAUGUUGUUGUUACAUGAUAAUGACAUUGUUUUUGGAAGGUGUACAAGAACUUGGUUUUGUGCAAGAUUUUGCACUUUAUUCAACUUUUGAAUUGCUCCUGUAAUAUAGCAUUUACAUAAAUUAAGAAACAAGA